rnacentral:lncRNA from 1 species
ACUUUGAGAUGCUGAGGUCAGGAUCUCAAAUCUGCUAUUCAAGUUUUAGCUUGCGACUCAAAGAUGAAUUCAAGUGGAAGCCGAUUUUCAAUCAGACCGAUGGCAACGGUGGACAAAUACAGUAAGACACGACCGCGAAAUUUUUACAAGAUAAAACUAUGCUUCUCAGUACAGGGCAAAGGCACAGUCACGAGAACAUCAGUUGGUAAGCAUUCCAGUGGUGGAUCCCCCUCCCCUGUCGUUCCACAGCUACACUUGCUCUGGAUCCACAAACUGUCUCAGUCGGAUAUAGGUCCCUACAGUCGGACAUGCUUUAUCAACAGAAUGAAUACAAAAAUACUUGCUGCCAAAACAACCUAAAAAGAGCUUGAUACUUGUAAAAGCACAUAUAAAAUCGAUCGUGGCAGACUUUAGCUAGCAGCCAGUCACCAGUCCUUCUCGGACGCCAAACACUAUCAAAAAGUUACACCAACUUUAUUCAGCCCCUACCGCAAUUGACCGACAUUAGCUCUGAUCACCGACACACUAAUCAGUUAUCAGUGUGAUAAAAAAGAGCCAUUCUGGUCCAUCACAUGAUCACUUUUAUAGCGGCUCACAUCUCACCAUCAAACCACAUUCCAUGAUUCAUGGCACAAUUAUCCUUCCAAUCUAAGCCAUCAGUACCGCAAAAAUAGACAGCUAGGUCAUAUCAGGCCCCUGACGAGCCAUCUUUUUUGGAAUGAACAAACCAUGAAAAUGCAAUUUCGCAGAUGAUUCUCAAUGAUACAAAUAACAUGCAGGAGUAAGUGGCAUGAAAAUGAAAGAGUUGCUAGGUAAGUUACCUGAAUGCACGAAUCUGCUAAAGUAAGAUGAUCACUUACCAAUUGACAAACGGCAGGUCCC